GCCCUGAAGGGGUUAUUCUUCACCACACCCUAAUCACUUCCCUUUUCUUGCCACCAAACUGAGGCAGUUGUUGGGGGUGGUAAGCGGAAAUCUUCCUCCAGCAUGAAGCACUCCGAUAGAGGACCAGGGUUUGAAAUACUUGAGAAUCCGGUCCAAACUGCAGUGUUAGACGAAUAUAUGCUUUGCUCGUUGAUCUAAUCAAGUGUUUGAUACAUUCUAAGCGUAGGUACAGGUUACAGGUGCUAGAUAUAGAAGGUUAGACGAUGAACAGAAACUAGCCCUCAAGGAAUUUAAGGUCUGGAGGGGAAGCAAAGUAAGCCAGAAAAAUGCCAUAUGUAAUGUCAGAAUUAUUGGGAAUGCUGAGAAAGCUAAAAAGAUGGGCGGAAGGACCUUUACUCCAUCUCAGAAUAGCCUUCCCUGAAAAGGUGGUGAUGUCUGAGCUGAGUCUUGGAGGACCAGCAGGAGUUCACCAGAGAGUUCAAGCUCCUCAUUUUACUGACAGUCACCACAGCCAUGCCCACCUUGAACUGAUCACGUACCACGGCCUAUGCUCAGCGUCUCCUGUUUAUUGCCUCAUGAUCUCACUUAGCAAGCUGAUGAGAACAUUCCCUGGUUUUCCAGCUUCUACAGAUGAAGAAACUGGGGCUCAGAGAGGUCUUGUACCCGUGUGACUCAGCAGCAACAGAAAGAAAAACAAUCCACCUGUUGCCCAAGCAGAUACCACCAACCGCCCGAGCCAAUCAUUAAAUGCCUGAUAUUCCCGCUGUUUUAGUGAACCUGCUUAGUUUUAAAUUAGCCAAUCACCCUGCGCCAUGCCAACCUCUGCCAAUGUGCCACCCAAUCAUCUUGUAAUCCCUGCCCCUCACACCAUCCCUCCCCCCAACUGUAAUAAAAACCCUGCCCGACUGAUGAUCAGGGCUCUCCGCACAGAUCCACUGCGUUGGUGAGGUCUGAGAGACGAGCUUAAGCCCGAAUAAAUGCCCUUUGCUUUUGCAUAGUGACUCGGACUCCCUGGUGGUCUGCGGGGGAAUCCACGAUCUCGGCAUAAUAAAACCUGACUAUUGAUUAA